rnacentral:rRNA from 1 species
UACGUAGGGUGCAAGCGUUGUCCGGAAUUAUUGGGCGUAAAGAGCUCGUAGGCGGUGUGUCGCGUCGGCCGUGAAAACCUGCAGCUUAACUGUGGGCUUGCGGUCGAUACGGGCAUCACUGGAGUUCGGCAGGGGAGACUGGAAUUCCUGGUGUAGCGGUGAAAUGCGUAGAUAUCAGUCGGAACACCGGUGGCGAAGGCGGCUUCUUGGGCCGUUUCUGACGCUGAGGCGCGAAAGCCAGGGGAGCGAACGGG